rnacentral:rRNA from 1 species
AUUGAACGCUGGCGGCAUGCUUUACACAUGCAAGUCGGACGGCAGCACAGAGAAGCUUGCUUCUUGGGUGGCGAGUGGCGAACGGGUGAGUAAUAUAUCGGAACGUACCGAGUAAUGGGGGAUAACUAAUCGAAAGAUUAGCUAAUACCGCGUAUUCUCUGAGGAGGAAAGCAGGGGACCUUCGGGCCUUGCGUUAUUCGAGCGGCCGAUAUCUGAUUAGCUAGUUGGUGGGGUAAAGGCCUACCAAGGCGACGAUCAGUAGCGGGUCUGAGAGGAUGAUCCGCCACACUGGGACUGAGACACGGCCCAGACUCCUACGGGAGGCAGCAGUGGGGAAUUUUGGACAAUGGGCGCAAGCCUGAUCCAGCCAUGCCGCGUGUCUGAAGAAGGCCUUCGGGUUGUAAAGGACUUUUGUCAGGGAAGAAAAGGCUGUUGCUAAUACCGACAGCUGAUGACGGUACCUGAAGAAUAAGCACCGGCUAACUACGUG